AAUAGAUACCCGGGUAGUCCCAGCCCUAAACGAUGGAUACUAGGUGUCGGGGGUAUCGACCCCUCCGGUGCCGCCGCUAACGCAGUAAGUAUCCCGCCUGGGGAGUACGGCCGCAAGGUUGAAACUCAAAGGAAUUGACGGGGGCCCGCACAAGCGGUGGAGCAUGUUGUUUAAUACGUCACUAACCGUAGAACCUUACCAGGGUUUGACAUGGCGUGACCUCCUAUGAAAGUAGGCUUCCCCGCAAGGGGACACGCACACAGGUGUUGCAUGGCUGUCGUCAGCUCGUGUCGUGAGACGUUGGGUUAAGUCCCGCAACGAGCGCAACCCUCAUCCCAUGUUGCCAGCGAGUAAAGUCGGGAACUCUUGGGAAACUGCCGGGGUAACUCGGAGGAAGGUGAGGACGACGUCAAGUCAGCAUGGCCCUUACACCCUGGGCUACAAACAUGCUACAAUGGACGGUAAACAGAGGGAUCCGAGACCGUGAGGUGGAGGCAAUCUCAGAAAUCCGUUCUCAGUUCGGAUUGCAGGCUGCAACUCGCCUGCA
rnacentral:rRNA from 1 species